rnacentral:rRNA from 1 species
UACGAAGGGUGCGAGCGUUAUUCGGAAUCAUUGGGCGUAAAGGGUGCGUAGACGGUAUAUUAAGUCUGUUGUUAAAUGCUCCAGCCUAACUGGAGACCUGCAGUGGAAACUAAUAUGCUAGAGGGUGGAAGAGAGAAGUGGAAUUCUCGGAGUAGCGGUAAAAUGCGUAGAUCUCGAGAGGAACACCAAUGGCGAAGGCAGCUUCUUGGUCCAUACCUGACGUUGAGGUACGAAAGCGUGGGGAGCAAACAGG